rnacentral:misc_RNA from 1 species
GUAAAGUCGGGGUUCUCCCGCCCCUCACCGGGAGGGGAACCCGUCCUUACCGAAAACCCCGCGCCCCCCCGCGGGGGGGCGCAACCCUUCAAGAACCACUCUUCUUACCCUUUUGCCGUUGUCUGGGAGGGCGUUCGGCCUUAAAACGAAGGAAACAAGUUCUA